AUACGUAGGGAGCGAGCGUUGUCCGGAAUUACUGGGCGUAAAGGGCGCGUAGGCGGCGCUUCAAGUCGUCUGUCAAAUGGGAGGGCUUAACCCUUUUUCGCAGACGAAACUGGAGAGCUUGAGAAGCAGAGAGGCAAACAGAAUUCCUGGUGUAGCGGUGAAAUGCGUAGAUAUCAGGAAGAAUACCAGUGGCGAAGGCGGUUUGCUGGCUGCAUACUGACGCUGAAGCGCGAAAGCCAGGGGAGCAAACGGGAUUAGAUACCCCGGUAGUCCUGGCAGUAAACGAUGUAUGCUGGGUGUGAGACUAGCGAUAGUUUCGUGCCGAAGUUAACGCGAUAAGCAUACCGCCUGGGGAGUACGGUCGCAAGAUUGAAACUCAAAGGAAUCGACGGGG
rnacentral:rRNA from 1 species